rnacentral:rRNA from 1 species
GCCGGAAUCCGACGCUCUCCCCAAGGACACAAGCCAUGCAUGCCCGCGCACCCGGGAGGCGGCGGACGGCUCAGGACAACGGUUGCACCCCCCGCGGCGGUCCCUGCUAGCCGGACACCGCUGGCAACCCGGCGCCAAGACGUGCGCGCAAGGGCGGGCGCCCGCGGGCGAGCAGCGUGACGCAGCGACGGCCCGCCCGGGCUUCCGGGGCAUCACCCGGUUCGGCGCGGUCGCGGCGCGCCGAGGGCCCGACGCCUGGCGGAGAUA